UGCUAGUCCCAUUACCUCUUGCAGCUUCAAGUGCUUUAAUCAACUUCUUAAUUUUCCAUAUUUCAAUGUUCUUAUCAGUUUCAUGAGCAUCAGCCAUCGUAAUAAAUGAAAAUACGGUGGGAUGGGUGCUCGAGAGAGAAAGAUGCCGCCGGGAUGGAUGUUCGUGAGAGAGAGCUGCUACCGGCCGCUAAGAUGGGGGAUUAUGCUCGUGAGAGAUGCUGCCGGGAGGACGUUGGCGAGAGAGAGAUCUCGAAUCGCCGGAAGAGAUCGGAGAGGGAUUGAAGAUGGCGGUUGGGAACUUGGGAACGCAAUCGAGGGAGCGGGUCCAAG
rnacentral:misc_RNA from 1 species